rnacentral:lncRNA from 1 species
CUUCCAUGGUGUGUGGCUGGGAAAUAUUAGCCCUGAACUUUAUGUGCUCUGCAUCAUCUCUGCUCCUAGAGGAGAAAAGGAGGACCUACUCCUAGGUUCACAAAGCCAUGUGCCACAUGAAGCACCUGGGGUGGUCCUCUGCUGAUGUCAAAUAAUUCAGUUUCCACUUCCUCUGGAUGUGCAAGACUCACAGCUACAUUCCUUGCAAAUGAGGUCUGAAGUAACAUACAUUUCCAGGACUAGAAGUCUACAACACUGGAAGUUGAGCAUCAUCUUAAACUCCUUGACCACAGACAUGGGAAGUUUGCAAAAAGAAAUGUGCAUGCCAAAAGCAUGUCUCCUUCACUCAUGUCAAUAUUGGCAAUGCAUGGGGAGCCUGAAAAAAUGCAGGUUUAAACACUUAAACAUUAAGGAUGUAAUUUGUUGUUUUUUAAAUCUCACUAAUUGUUCAUUAAGUAGUACUCUUGCCCUUCUCCCCAUCCCUGGAGUGAAUUGAAAAGCUGGGACAAAAGUGUGAGUGAGUCACAAGUGAAAGAAUUUGUUUAACCCCUGAUGUAGGAGUAGCAGUUUUAGCUUCCUGAGCUAUGUGAAAUUAAUUCCACAAUAAAUGAUGUAGAGCUAAUUGCA